UACGUAGGGGGCAAGCGUUGUCCGGAAUCAUUGGGCGUAAAGCGCGUGUAGGCGGCCCAGUAAGUCCGCUCUGAAAGCCCGGGGCUCAACCCCGGGAGGCGGGUGGAUACUGCUGGGCUCGAGUCCGGAAGAGGCGAGUGGAAUUCCUGGUGUAGCGGUGAAAUGCGCAGAUAUCAGGAGGAGCACCGAUUGCGAAGGCAGCUCGCUGGGACGGUACUGACGCUGAGACGCGAAAGCGUGGGGAGCAAACAGG
rnacentral:rRNA from 1 species